rnacentral:rRNA from 1 species
GUAGGUGGCAAGCGUUGUCCGGAAUUAUUGGGCGUAAAGCGCGCGCAGGCGGUUCUUUAAGUCUGAUGUGAAAGCCCACGGCUCAACCGUGGAGGGUCAUUGGAAACUGGAGAACUUGAGUACAGAAGAGGAAAGCGGAAUUCCACGUGUAGCGGUGAAAUGCGUAGAGAUGUGGAGGAACACCAGUGGCGAAGGCGGCUUUCUGGUCUGUAACUGACGCUGAGGCGCGAAAGCGUGGGGAGCAAACAGGGAUUAGAUACCCUGGUAGUCCACGCCGUAAACGAUGAGUGCUAAGUGUUAGGGGGUUUCCCGCCCCUUAGUGCUGCGGCUAACGCAUUAAGCACUCCGCCUGGGGGAGUACGGCCGCAAGGCUG